CAAAAGGGUGCUUGCUCUUCAAUAGCACGCAGGCUUAUCGGCCUUGCGGGGUAUGGAAAUCAAGACAUACCCAGCACAUAAUUUUUGAAAUCGCGGGGCAGUUUCCUGCGACAUGCGGAGGCGCCCCC